rnacentral:rRNA from 1 species
GAUGAACGCUGGCGGCGUGCCUAAUACAUGCAAGUCGAGCGAACGGACGAGAAGCUUGCUUUUCUGAUGUUAGCGGCGGACGGGUGAGUAACACGUGGAUAACCUACCUAUAAGACUGGGAUAACUUCGGGAAACCGGAGCUAAUACCGGAUAAUAUUUUGAACCGCAUGGUCAAAAGUGAAAGACGGUCUUGCUGUCACUUAUAGAUGGAUCCGCGCUGCAUUAGCUAGUUGGUAGGGUAACGGCUUACCAAGGCAACGAUGCAUAGCCGACCUGAGAGGGUGAUCGGCCACACUGGAACUGAGACACGGUCCAGACUCCUACGGGAGGCAGCAGUAGGGAAUCUUCCGCAAUGGGCGAAAGCCUGACGGAGCAACGCCGCGUGAGUGAUGAAGGUCUUCGGAUCGUAAAACUCUGUUAUUAGGGAAGAACAUAUGUGUAAGUAACUGUGCACAUCUUGACGGUACCUAAUCAGAAAGCCACGGCUAACUACGUG